rnacentral:lncRNA from 1 species
GUAUGCUCUUGCCUGUGCCUAAAUCCAGAAUUAGAAUUCAUGCUUGGUGCUCCUGUGGAAGAUGUCUAAAUGUUAUGAGAAAUACAUGAUUAAAUAAAAAUGUGAAAUGAAAGCAUGGAGACUUGUUGAAGAUGUAGGCUGUCCAGGUGUCCGGUACUAUAACUCCACAAGAUCAGUAGGGCCCCAGGCUUUUUCUGUUCUUUAUGAUCCACUCUCUACCAUGUAGCAUUUGUCUUCAAGAUCAAAAAAUGGUGGCUGUAGUGCUCACAUUCCAGAUAAGGAAGAAUGGGCAAGAAACAAAAGAUCCACUCCAAAUGUGAUGGCAAAAUUAAGACUUUUGAGUGAAAAAUGGAAAUUUGUCUUCAGUACAUACACACUGAAAGAAAUGUUGAAGAGAGUUCUUCAGGCAGAAGCAAAAUCAUUCCAAGGGAAAUCCUGGAAUGCAGGAAUAAAUGAAGAGCAAUGGAAAUGGUAAAUAUGUGGGUAAAUUUGAAGGAAUAUUGGCUGUAUUCUGUGGUUUAAAAUAUCUGUGGAAUUAAAAUGCACCUACAAUAACGAGACAG